rnacentral:ncRNA from 1 species
GCAGAGUAGGCUCGAUGCGUCAAGUGCGUGAGGAUGGGAAGUUGCCUCGCGACGAAAGGGGUGAAAGCCCUUGCGGUAUCGAUCCGCGUCCGCUGU